UACGUAGGGCGCAAGCGUUGUCCGGAAUUAUUGGGCGUAAAGAGCUCGUAGGCGGCUUGUCACGUCGGGUGUGAAAGCUCGGGGACUUAACCCCGGGUCUGCAUUCGAUACGGGCUGGCUGGAGUGUGGUAGGGGAGAUCGGAAUUCCUGGUGAGCGGUGAAAUGCGCGAUAUCAGGAGGAACACCGGUGGCGAAGGCGGAUCUCUGGGCCGUAACUGACGCUGAGGAGCGAAAGCAUGGGGGAGCGAACAGGG
rnacentral:rRNA from 1 species